UACGUAGGGUGCGAGCGUUGUCCGGAAUUAUUGGGCGUAAAGAGCUCGUAGGCGGUCUGUCGCGUCGGUCGUGAAAACUUGGGGCUUAACCCUGAGCUUGCGGUCGAUACGGGCAUGACUGGAGUUCGGCAGGGGAGACUGGAAUUCCUGGUGUAGCGGUGAAAUGCGCAGAUAUCAGGAGGAACACCGGUGGCGAAGGCAGCACUCUGGGACGUGACUGACGCUGAGACGCGAAAGCGUGGGGAGCAAACAGG
rnacentral:rRNA from 1 species